rnacentral:misc_RNA from 1 species
CGACAAUGGCUGACAUCUCAGAACCUCGUAAUCCCGCCGAAACCUCAUCUGAAAUUUCGGAAUCCCCCGAAACGCCACCGCAAGUUCCCGCACCGGAUUUCGACCCUAAAACCAUGCGUACCACAAAACUCUUCCUCGCCGUCUCAGUCCUUCUCUCCUUCCUUCUAGGUUUCCCGUUCUUGUGGAAAUCAGUGGAAAUCUACCGCUCACCGCUCCCAUUUGAAGACAUGGAUAUGCUUUCCAAGGAAAUUGAGUCGAAUCCCUUGCAAUUCCCAUGCCAGUUCCAAGCCGUUUUCAUCGAUUCCAAUCCUCAAUCUUCUUUCUCUGUUCUCAAUCCACAUCGCAUGCACCAGUCAAUCCUUGCACAAAUGACCAAACUGACCCCACAAACCCC